rnacentral:pre_miRNA from 1 species
CAAGUACUGGUCUCAGCAGACUGGGGAGAGCACCACUGUGGUCACCACACAGUCCACCGAGGUUGGAGCUGC